CUCAUUGUAGCCUUCCAGUACUUGAAGGGAGCAUAUGAACAGGAGGGGGAAUGGCUGUUCAUGAGGGUGGGUAGUGACAGGACAAGGGGGAAUAGUUUUAAACUGUGACAGGGGAGGUUUCAGUUAGAUAUUAGAGGGAAGUUUUUCACUCAGAGGUGGUGACACACUGGAACAGGUUGCCCAAGGAGGUUGUGGAUGCCCCAUCGCUGGAAGCAUUCAAGGCCAGACUGGAUGUGGCUCUGGGCAGCCUGGUCUAGUGGUUGGUGACCCUGCCUGUGGCAGGGGGGUUGAAACUACAUGGUCUUUGAGGUCCUUUUCAACCCAUGCCAUUCUAUGAAUCAAUAUCUGUAUAGAUGUUGGAAGCACAAGUACAAAUAUUCAUUACUGCGUUUUCUAAAACUUAAAUUCUGAUGAGGCUUCAAAACACAAACAUGUCUCUUACUGAUAUGGAAGAUGCUCUGCAAGAACAGUGUUAGCCUAUGUUUCUCAUCCUGUAACACUGGUAACUGCUUCUACUGUCCAACUCCAAAAAAAAAGAUAAACAUCUCUGAUGGUCACACAGCCCCAAGACCCUACAAGCCAUGUACCCCAUAGGGAGGCUGCCAGGAGUGUGCAGAGAGAGGGGAAUUUUUUGCUGUCAUAUCACCAGUUGCACCUAGUCACUCCAACAACUAAGGAAGGAAAAUCAUGGCUAUGAUGAGAUAUUUUGAUGGUUUGCAGUAUGUACACUGCCCCUCAUGGCUGUAUAAAUUGAAGAACCCUUAGAAGCAGUGAUGUGUGCUCAAGCUAAAGGACUUCAGGGAAUGACAGGUUGCUAAAGCAUUUGUAGAUCUCUAUUCACCCUUUCUCUGCUUCAAGAUGUAAAGAAAAUGAAGAAAAAUCAAGAAAAAAGAAAGAAUAGCAACAAUUUUGGACUUUUCAGUGAAGCUACACAUCUUCCUGAAAAUUCUACUCACCUUCAACGCAGACUUCCAUUUCAGAAACCAUUCUGAGGUUUGGAUCUUCUUGACAUAAUUUCAGCAGAUCUUCCUGUGUGCAUCUUCAGGCUUUGGACAAGCAUGGGUCUUUUCUUGCUUUGAGAACCUCAUCCUCCUUACAGAAGUGCUGACCGAGUGCAGUUCGGUGUACUCUUUACAGCAGGAGGCACUGUGACAGUUUAGGACAUUGCUCCUUAAUGUAAUUUGAAAUGAAAGAGAUCACUCUCUCCUUGCGUGUGUUCUUGUCUAUCUUAUGUCUCUGGUGUUUUUCUUUACAGACAAAAGCCAGGAAAGGAAUAAACUGAC
ensembl:lncRNA